CAAGCCAGCAGUACAUUCCUGAGAGUUUUUCAAGCUUAUGAUGUCCUAUAGAGGAGGGCGCAGAAAAUAUGCCCUUCCCCAAAAUGCAACUACCUAUCUGGAGUUCAUACUAUGGGAAAAGUAGCGGUUUGCUUAUUGCAUUCUUCUGAAAAAACUGUAGCUCCUCCACAAUGCUAUAAAUGAGAGAGAAGAAAGGAAACAUAAAUCAAAGAUAUUUAAACGACCUGGAUACAGGCCUCACUGGAAGAAUCUAAAAUGCUUCUGUGGUCACAAGAACAAUUUUCACCCCAUGUUUUUGGACUGCAUAACACAUCAUCAAAAGCACUAGACAUCAGGAAAAAAACAGCAAUCUCCAAAGGGGUAGUUUGGCUGGUGACCAGGUCUACAAAGGGGGAAAUAAGGAAGCUAGUACUUGUGAUUCAAGAAAAGAAUCCCAAGGAAAGAUUUCUAAAAGUUGAAACCUACUAUGAAAAUACAAUAAUCUAUUUUUAAUCUACCAUAAACCAUUACAUAGAAGGACUACAGAACACUGGAUACAAGGGGAG